UAGGGAAUCUUCCGCAAUGGGCGAAAGCCUGACGGAGCAACGCCGCGUGAGUGAUGAAGGUCUUCGGAUCGUAAAACUCUGUUAUUAGGGAAGAACAAAUGUGUAACUAACUAUGCACGUCUUGACGGUACCUAAUCAGAAAGCCACGGCUAACUACGUGCCAGCAGCCGCGGUAAUACGUAGGUGGCAAGCGUUAUCCGGAAUUAUUGGGCGUAAAGCGCGCGUAGGCGGUUUUUUAAGUCUGAUGUGAAAGCCCACGGCUCAACCGUGGAGGGUCAUUGGAAACUGGAAAACUUGAGUGCAGAAGAGGAAAGUGGAAUUCCAUGUGUAGCGGUGAAAUGCGCAGAGAUAUGGAGGAACACCAGUGGCGAAGGCGACUUUCUGGUCUGUAACUGACGCUGAUGUGCGAAAGCGUGGGGAUCAAACAGG
rnacentral:rRNA from 1 species